rnacentral:rRNA from 1 species
AGAGUUUGAUCCUGGCUCAGGAUGAACGCUGGCGGCGUGCCUAAUACAUGCAAGUCGAACGAAUCUUCUUCGGAAGAUGAGUGGCGAACGGGUGAGUAAUACAUAGGUAACCUGCCCCUGUGCGGGGGAUAACAGGAGGAAACUCCUGCUAAUACCGCAUAGCCAUGAGCACCGCAUGGAGCUCAUGCCAAAUAUCCUUUACGGGAUAGCGCAGGGAUGGACCUAUGGCGCAUUAGCUAGUUGGCGGGGCAACGGCCCACCAAGGCAACGAUGCGUAGCCGGCCUGAGAGGGCGGACGGCCACAUUGGGACUGAGACACGGCCCAGACUCCUACGGGAGGCAGCAGUAGGGAAUUUUCGGCAAUGGGGGAAACCCUGACCGAGCAACGCCGCGUGAGCGAAGAAGGCCUUCGGGUCGUAAAGCUCUGUUGUAAAGGAAGAACGUCGGACACAGGAAAUGGUGUGCGAGUGACGGUACUUUACCAGAAAGCCACGGCUAACUACGUGCCAGCAGCCGCGGUAAUACGUAGGUGGCGAGCGUUAUCCGGAAUCAUUGGGCGUAAAGAGGGAGCAGGCGGCCGCAAGGGUCUGUGGUGAAAGACCGAAGCUAAACUUCGGUGAGCCAUGGAAACCGGGCGGCUAGAGUGCGGAAGAGGAUCGUGGAAUUCCAUGUGUAGCGGUGAAAUGCGUAGAUAUAUGGAGGAACACCAGUGGCGAAGGCGACGGUCUGGGCCGCAACUGACGCUCAUUCCCGAAAGCGUGGGGAGCAAAUAGGAUUAGAUACCCUAGUAGUCCACGCCGUAAACGAUGGUCACUAAGUGUCGGGGGUCAAACCCCGGUGCUGCAGUCAACGCAAUAAGUGACCCGCCUGAGUAGUACGUUCGCAAGAAUGAAACUCAAAGGAAUUGACGGGGGCCCGCACAAGCGGUGGAGCAUGUGGUUUAAUUCGA